CUGGUGUUUGCUCUGGCUUGUGCAUCAGAUCCGAUGCCUCUCCACUUGGGGGGACAGUAUUCUGACCUGGGCUAUACUGAGAAAUGUUGCAGGAAGCCCCCCUGUGAUUCUGCUUUCCUCAAGUGCUGACUUGGAAGUGCAUUGCAGGAACCUUCAGGGAAG
rnacentral:lncRNA from 12 species